GCUCUCCGGCCCUCAUAAGGGCUGGGUUGGCUCUGGGAUCAAGGACUCCUCUCCUCCUUGCACUGAACCUGUGCUCAGAAUCUACCCCUCCACCUCCAGGUCCAGGGCAUCGGCCCCACCUUCAAACUGACCCUCCACAUUCAGAAUACAUCAGUUGGGUGCCCCUCCAUCAACCUGCUGGUGAGCUUCCUCUACGACCAGAACCUCUAUGCCAUGAAAAGAGCCUUCUUCAAGGCCCCCAUGCUGGUCCCAGGACUGAACUACCCCAUUGAAACCUUUGUGGAGUGUCUGAGUGACAAGGGGAUCUCAGAUGUCAUCAAGGUGUUUGUGUUGCGGGAGGGCCAGAGCACACCCUUGCUGACUGCCCAUAUCAACAUGCCAGUGAGUGAGGGCCUGGCUGUUGCCUGAACCCCCUCUGGGGGGCGAUAGAGACCAGAGCUGCAGUAGAUCCCAUAGGUGGCUCACUGGGCCCCAGCCUGGAGCUGGAGCUGGAGCUGGAGCUGAACCACCAACCGCCCCAGGAUGCACACUGCUGAGUAGGGAUCAUGGGGAGGGGGGGUUGUGGCUGCCCUCGCUGCCCCCAGCCUGGAGCACAGACCCAGCUGUUUUGUCUGGGAUCAGGCCAGGUCUUUACAUCAGAGGAGAUAGGGGAAGGACUUGUGCCCAGUUUGGCAUCAAAUACUGUGAGGAAGGUGGGCAGGAGAUUCUCCCCCACCCACAAACCUUGGGGCAGCACCUGGAAAGCCCCAGAACUGUGAUUGUAGCGUCCCAAUAAAGCCAGCACAGUCGCUUUGC